rnacentral:rRNA from 1 species
AGAGUUUGAUCCUGGCUCAGAUUGAACGCUGGCGGCAUGCCUUACACAUGCAAGUCGAACGGCAGCGCGGGGCAACCUGGCGGCGAGUGGCGAACGGGUGAGUAAUAUAUCGGAACGUACCCUGGAGUGGGGGAUAACGUAGCGAAAGUUACGCUAAUACCGCAUACGAUCUAAGGAUGAAAGCAGGGGACCGCAAGGCCUUGUGCUCCUGGAGCGGCCGAUAUCUGAUUAGCUAGUUGGUGGGGUAAAGGCCCACCAAGGCAUCGAUCAGUAGCUGGUCUGAGAGGACGACCAGCCACACUGGAACUGAGACACGGUCCAGACUCCUACGGGAGGCAGCAGUGGGGAAUUUUGGACAAUGGGCGCAAGCCUGAUCCAGCAAUGCCGCGUGAGUGAAGAAGGCCUUCGGGUUGUAAAGCUCUUUUGUCAGGGAAGAAACGGCCGUUUCUAAUACAGAUGGCUAAUGACGGUACCUGAAGAAUAAGCACCGGCUAACUACGUGCCAGCAGCCGCGGUGAUACGUAGGGUGCAAGCGUUAAUCGGAAUUACUGGGCGUAAAGCGUGCGCAGGCGGUUUUGUAAGUCUGUCGUGAAAUCCCCGGGCUCAACCUGGGAAUGGCGAUGGAGACUGCAAGGCUAGAGUUUGGCAGAGGGGGGUAGAAUUCCACGUGUAGCAGUGAAAUGCGUAGAUAUGUGGAGGAACACCGAUGGCGAAGGCAGCCCCCUGGGUCAAAACUGACGCUCAUGCACGAAAGCGUGGGGAGCAAACAGGAUUAGAUACCCUGGUAGUCCACGCCCUAAACGAUGUCUACUAGUUGUCGGGUCUUAAUUGACUUGGUAACGCAGCUAACGCGUGAAGUAGACCGCCUGGGGAGUACGGUCGCAAGAUUAAAACUCAAAGGAAUUGACGGGGACCCGCACAAGCGGUGGAUGAUGUGGAUUAAUUCGAUGCAACGCGAGAAACCUUACCUACCCUUGACAUGGAAGGAAUCCCGGAGAGAUUUGGGAGUGCCCGAAAGGGAACCUUUACACAGGUGCUGCAUGGCUGUCGUCAGCUCGUGUCGUGAGAUGUUUUAAGUCCCGCAACGAGCGCAACCCUUGUCAUUAGUUGCUACGAAAGAGCACUCUAAUGAGACUGCCGGUGACAAACCGAAGGAAGGUGGGGAUGACGUCAAGUCCUCAUGGCCCUUAUGGGUAGGGCUUCACACGUCAUACAAUGGUACAUACAGAGGGCCGCCAACC